UAGGGAAUCUUCCGCAAUGGGCGAAAGCCUGACGGAGCAACGCCGCGUGAGUGAUGAAGGUCUUCGGAUCGUAAAACUCUGUUAUUAGGGAAGAACAAAUGUGUAAGUAACUAUGCACGUCUUGACGGUACCUAAUCAGAAAGCCACGGCUAACUACGUGCCAGCAGCCGCGGUAAUACGUAGGUGGCAAGCGUUAUCCGGAAUUAUUGGGCGUAAAGCGCGUGUAGGCGGUUUUUUAAGUCUGAUGUGAAAGCCCACGGCUCAACCGUGGAGGGUCAUUGGAAACUGGAAAACUUGAGUGCAGAAGAGGAAAGUGGAAUUCCAUGUGUAGCGGUGAAAUGCGCAGAGAUAUGGAGGAACACCAGUGGCGAAGGCGACUUUCUGGUCUGUAACUGACGCUGAUGUGCGAAAGCGUGGGGAUCAAACAGGAUUAGAUACCCUGGUAGUCCACGCCGUAAACGAUGAGUGCUAAGUGUUAGGGGGUUUCCGCCCCUUAGUGCUGCAGCUAACGCAUUAAGCACUCCGCCUGGGGAGUACGACCGCAAGGUUG
rnacentral:rRNA from 1 species